AAGCUGGGAUGAGGGCACUUUCUCAAUAAAUCUUUGAAUCUUUCCCAAGCUUCAUGCAAACUCUCGUGAUCAUGGUGGACAAAGGUCAUUAUCUCAUUGCGUAGUUU
rnacentral:snoRNA from 1 species